AGUGAACGCUGGCGGUAGGCCUAACACAUGCAAGUCGAACGGCAGCACAGUAAGAGCUUGCUCUUACGGGUGGCGAGUGGCGGACGGGUGAGGAAUACAUCGGAAUCUACUUUUUCGUGGAGGAUAACGUAGGGAAACUUACGCUAAUACCGCAUACGACCUACGGGUGGAAGCAGGGGAUCUUCGGACCUUGCGCGAUUGAAUGAGACGAGGUCGGAUUAGCUAGUUGGCGGGGUAAAGGCCCACCAAGGCGACGAACCGUAGCUGGUCUGAGAGGAUGAUCAGCCACACUGGAACUGAGACACGGUCCAGACUCCUACGGGAGGCAGCAGUGGGGAAUAUUGGACAAUGGGCGCAAGCCUGAUCCAGCAAUACCGCGUGGGUGAAGAAGGUCUUCGGGUUGUAAAGCCCUUUUGUUAGGAAAGAAAAGCAGCAGGUUAAAACCCCGCUGUUCUGACGGUACCCAAAGAGAAAGCACCGGCUAACUACGUG
rnacentral:rRNA from 1 species